GAGAGACAAGGUCUCGCUUGCUAAGGCUGGUCUCAAACCCCUGAGCUCAAGCCAUCCUUCAGCCUCAGCUGCCCAAAGAGCUGGGAUUACAGACGUAAGCCACUACAUCAGGCCCACGUGCAUUUUUAAUGGCUUCCAAACAUGGUGGGGAACGGAGGAUCAUUCUCUGACCUUCCUCAUAGACUCUAAUACCCCUGAGCCCUUCUAUUCUCUUAUUUUCCCCUGGGUGUAGGGAGGGCACCGCUCACCUCUCACGUGAUGGUUUUAUGACGUGCUUCAGGGGAGGGUGAGAAUAUUUCCUACACUGUAUGGAAAAGGAUGGGGGUGGUUACAGAGACUUUCCUGCACAUGCUUUUUUCUCAAAUUCUUUCAGCUUAGAAUAUUUUGGGCUAGCAUGUCCUGAGCCUCAUCGACACUGAUACUUUCCCUUGCUGGACCAUGUGCACCUUAUGAAAAAAAUCUGGUGUCUUCCAGGAAUUUCAGCAGGUAUGUAAAGAAAAUGGCAAGGACUGUCUGAGAACGUUUUUCCUUGCAUCCCAAAUCACACUAUGCUUGUGGCUGGUCCUGGAGUGCAACGAGGAGAUCUGGGAGGGGCUGGGAAUUAGUAAUAAGCCAUCUCUUUUGUGUGCUCCCCUGGGAUGUGGGAGCAGCUGGCUUGGACCCCUGCACAGUGGAAUUAUUGUACUUUCAGCCCAAGGACCUGAGCCGCCUGAGCUGGGAGGAGCUCUCAGAACAUCCACCGAGAGGCAGGCAUGUGCUACGUGCUGUCAGCUCUGGUGCUGCUGGGAAACAAGCCCAUGGAAACAGGGUCUUGCUCUGUCACUCAGGCUGGAGUGUGGUGGUGUGAUCACAGCUUACUGCAACCUCUGCUUCCUGGGCUCAAGCCAUCCUCCCACCUCAGCCUCCCGAGUAGCUGGGACCACAGGUAGGCACCACGACAUCCAGCUAAUGUUUUUGCAUUUUUAGUAGAGACAGGGUUUUGCUAUGUUGCCCAGGCCAGUCUUGAACUCCUGGACUCAAGUGAUCUGCCCUCUUCAGCCUCCCAAAGUGCUGGGAUUACAGUCAUGGGCCACUACAUCCAGCCCAACAUGAAGCUUUAAUAGUGGAAUUUCAGUUAUCAGACGGUGGUGUGGGAGCCGCUGAGGGGGCAGCGGGCUUACUAGUGGUGUGACUCACUGCUGACAAGUGCGCUAGUCCCUAAGUAGCAGGAAUUUCUGUUCUUUUGUUCCUCCUCAAUUUCUUAGGGAAAUGUAUUUUUCUGGUGUAACCAGUAUUCACAGCUGAAUCUCUUUAUCAGCUCUGCAAGGGCAGGUGAUAACACACAGGCACCUGGUCUCUUCCUGUCCAGGUUUGCCUCUCCUAAUGGACAUAUUGGUGUGGGGUCCAUUUAUUCAUUGGAACACACGCUGGGUCUGUAGCAGUCUUUCCUCAGGUGACUCUGGUGUCACUGGGCUAUUGCUGAUGUCAGUGCUCUGGUUUUUUGUUGUUGCUGUUGUUUAUUUGUUUUGUUUUUAUAUUUGGUUUUUGUUUUUUUAAGACGGAGUCUUGCUCUGCCACCCAGGCUGAAGUGCAGUAGCAGGAUCUCAGCUCACUACAGCCUCAGCCUCCC
rnacentral:lncRNA from 1 species